rnacentral:rRNA from 13 species
CUGCCGAAGCAACUAGCCCUGAAAAUGGAUGGCGCUGAAGCGUUGUACCUAUACUCGGCCGUCAGUGGCAAUUUGAAUGGUCAAUGCAAAUUGACGAUUUAUCAAGCCCUGACGAGUACGGUGUACGUGGCGGUGUGCGUCGAAGGGUUAUGGGCGUGAGCCUGCCUGGAGCCGCCGCUAGUGCAGAUCUUGGUGGUAGUAGCAAAUACUCGACGGA